CAUAAGCCUGCCUGACUGCAAGACGUACAUGUCGAGCAGAGACGAAAGUCGGCCAUAGUGAUCCGGUGGUCCCAAGUGGAAGGGCCAUCGCUCAACGGAUAAAAGGUACGCCGGGGAUAACAGGCUGAUACUGCCCAAGAGUCCAUAUCGACGGCACCGUUUGGCACCUCGAUGUCGGCUCAUCACAUCCUGGGGCUGAAGUCGGUCCCAAGGGUAUGGCUGUUCGCCAUUUAAAGUGGUACGCGAGCUGGGUUUAGAACGUCGUGAGACAGUUCGGUC
rnacentral:rRNA from 1 species